rnacentral:miRNA from 1 species
GUAUUAGGUUGGUGCAAAAGUAAUUGCAAUUUUUGCCAUUACUUUUAAAUGACAAAAACCACAAUUACUUUUACACCAACUAAUA